CUCCACUGAGUCUUUCUCCUAUUCUUUUUCUUUUUUUAUCUCUCUCUCUUUUUCUCUAUGUCAUGCUCCCUUUUCUCAUUGCAGGGAAAAAAACCCCACCCUCUCCCAGGAAUGAAAAAGUGAUGGAGACGUGGUCUUUAUAUUUUACUGGGAAAAGGGGGUCAAAGUCAAAGGUGUUGGCAUGACCCUGCUGUUGUACAGCAUUAAGUGUAGUACAAGGUUUCAAGUACAGAGACCUCCGCCUGCCCAUGGCACCAUAGCAACCAACACUAUUAAUGAUGUUUAAGCUGUAUAGUGAAGACUCAGAAAAAGGAGGAGGGGAAAAAAAGCAGUUACAGUAUUUGAAAUGUAAAGUAUUAAGUGAGGCUUUCAUGUUAACAAUAUCCUUUCUUCAUUUUCCCCUUAGCUGUGAAGAAUUUUUAUAAGGAAACCCCUAUUUGACAGUGCAAAAAAAAAAAAAAAAAGAAUGCUAAUUACUAUCCUUUCUUUAGGGGAAAAGAGAAAUUAGUUGAAAUAGGUGGGAAACUGCAGUCGUUGCUGAAGAUUUGAAGGGGAGAGAGAAUAGCAGUGCUAGACAAUGCUUCUUUUCUGGUGCCAACUCCUCUUAAAAGCUCUGCUGCUGAAGAAAAACAGAUUUGUAAGCCACUGUGGGACUUACCCUACUCAUACCUGGAUUGGAGCCUCCAGCUCUCUCCCCAGGCCUCUUGCUGAAGAUGCAGCCUUCAAAAGAUGAGCAGUUUAUUAGACAGAAGCCAAAAGGUAAGAAAUAGGAACAGGAAGGAAACCACCAUGUGGGGCCUUGGAGAAGAGCAUGGGAAUCUCAGCUGUGCAUUGAAAGUGCUCUUUGGGAGCUUUUAUGGGAAAUGGGUGUUUCCUGGACCCCCAGCUCUGCAUGUUUUUGUGAUCAGGACAAUGUAGCUCACCAGUGCCAGAGAGGAUGCCAGCCUGUGAGUCAGAGUUCACUUUGGAAGAGGUGGGAUCAGGUUGGUUGGCUCCAAAUUUCUUUUCUAUUUUAACUUUUCUAAACACUCUAGAUAAGUUGAUGUCUUUUCAUCUGAGUUAUACUCAAUUCCUUACAGCAGAUUUGGCCUCUUAAUUUUGAUACUUUCUCUGCCGUUGCUUACAAGGCAGGCUCUUCAGACAGUCCAGGGGUGGGAUCAGCAGCUCUUUUCAUUCAUUUGUUUAAUUUCUUUUGUCUUCAACCCCUGAAAAACCCUACAAGACACCUGGCUUGCCCUUUUGUGCCACAGGCUGCCAGGGUUUUACACAGCUGAGUGUGUUUGUGGGGUGGAUGCAAAAGUGAAGGAGGGUGGGUGAUUGCUCCAUUCCACAACUGCAAGGGCACAGAGAGGCAUGGACCAUCCUUAUGUUCUUCCUUGAGGCACCUGCUAGCAGCUGGUGGCAGAGGUGGGAUCUUAUACUAACUGGGGCUUUCUUCUGUUCCAAAUACUGCUCAGCUUAUGGCUCCACUGAAAAGGAUGUGAGCGUUACCUUAGACCAUAAGCAAGACCAGGAAAAAAGAGCAGCAUCACAAAUGUAUAAAUAACUGUUCUCACCAGCUGAUGCACGAAUCUUUCCUCUAAACUUUCUGCCUGAUUACCUGGGAGGUUAAAGGAGUGCAGGGCUGAGCUGCUGUUUCUCAGCUGGUGUUGCUUCUUUAAGGUUGUUCCUUGACAGCCUGAGAUUUUUCUUGCUCCCUCUUUGAUCCAGCUUGGACUCCAAGAAAGCUGGGAACUCAUCCCUCUCCCAGUUUGAACUGUAUGUGAUUAAUUACAGAUCCUGAGAAUGGGCUGCUUGCCUAUCUUUCAUGUUUAAAUUGCUUUCCAAGCAAUUUUGCAAGGCUAAGGAGCCUCUUUAGAUGUUACAUCUGACUGUGCCUUGGUCAAGCGUCCCUUGGUUUUUCUGGGAGCUGCAUCUGAUUCACAGUGAAUUUGAGAACACAUUAAACUGAGUGUUUUGUACAUGGA
ensembl:lncRNA